GAGGAAUGUCACUCAUCACAUAGGAUUUUAGUGAAAAGUAAAGUGACCUAUUAAUGAUAAAAUUACCUUUCUAUAUGUUUUUAUUUUUAACAGAUCAAUAAGCAUUUUCAGAGCAAUUAUGUCAAUUCCCCAAGGUCACAGUCUAUAAAGCAGAGCCGGGUUUUUCACAUAUCUCACAAAGCAAGGUGAAUAUAAGCUUUAAAUUCAUCUAUAUUAAUUAAUGAAUCCAUAUUCCUAAUGCCUAGUAACAAAUCUUACAUUCACUCAGUUCUUCAGGAACCAAGAGAAGACACUGAUCCUGAGGGGGCUGGAGCAGCUCCAGGUCAGUGUCCGGGCCGAGACCAGCAUUGGAAGAGAAGGCGUGCGGCUUAGCAUGGAGACCAGGAGGGGAAAUGCUGCAGGGAGGGACCCUGGAUCAUUGACUGGGCCUCACCGUCUGGAGAAGAGAUUCUGGAGAAGUUGUCUCUGGAGUGAGUUUCUGUUUAGUUGGAUAAUUUGUGUAUUUAAUGACAUACAACUUUUCUUUUUUUCAAAGAAACAACCUUGUCAAUAUCCCACAAAAGAUCAAAAUAUAUAUUUUAAAAUCUUACAUUUAAGUAAAAAGUAAUAUAGCCAUAAUAUAAAGACACUCCAAGUACAAUCCAAGUACACUAGGCUAGACUGGAGGUUGCAGUUGGUUCAGGCAAGAUUCAUACCCCGAACUGCACCAGGUAAGCAGCUUCCCA
rnacentral:lncRNA from 10 species